AGGGGUAUAGCUCAGUUGGCAGAGCGGUGGUCUCCAAAACCACGCGUCGAGGGUUCAAAUCCUUCUACCCCUGCCA
rnacentral:tRNA from 1 species